rnacentral:rRNA from 1 species
UGCAUGGCUGUCGUCAGCUCGUGUCGUGAGAUGUUGGGUUAAGUCCCGCAACGAGCGCAACCCUUGCCUUUAGUUGCCAGCAUUCAGUUGGGCACUCUAAAGGGACUGCCGGUGUUAAACCGGAGGAAGGUGAGGACGACGUCAAGUCCUCAUGGCCCCUAUGUCCAGGGCUACACACGUGCUACAAUGGACCGUACAAAGGGAAGCGAACCCGCGAGGAGGAGCAAAUCCCAAAAAAUGGUUCUCAGUUCGGAUUGGAGUCUGCAACUCGACUCCAUGAAGUUGGAAUCGCUAGUAAUCGCGGAUCAGCACGCCGCGGUGAUACGUUCCCGGGCCUUGUACACACCGCCCGUCACACCACGAAAGCUGACUGCACCAGAAGUCAUUGAGCUAACCCGCAAGGGAGGCAGGUGCCUAAGGUGUGGUUAGUGAUU